rnacentral:rRNA from 1 species
AGACCCGAAACCCGGUGAUCUAGCCAUGGGCAGGUUGAAGGUUGGGUAACACUAACUGGAGGACCGAACCGACUAAUGUUGAAAAAUUAGCGGAUGACCUGUGGCUGGGGGUGAAAGGCCAAUCAAACCGGGAGAUAGCUGGUUCUCCCCGAAAGCUAUUUAGGUAGCGCCUCGUGAAUUCAUCUCCGGGGGUAGAGCACUGUUUCGGCUAGGGGGCCAUCCCGGCUUACCAACCCGAUGCAAACUGCGAAUACCGGAGAAUGUUAUCACGGGAGACACACGGCGGGUGCUAACGUCCGUCGUGAAGAGGGAAACAACCCAGACCGCCAGCUAAGGUCCCAAAGUCAUGGUUAAGUGGGAAACGAUGUGGGAAGGCCCAGACAGCCAGGAUGUUGGCUUAGAAGCAGCCAUCAUUUAAAGAAAGCGUAAUAGCUCACUGGUCGAGUCGGCCUGCGCGGAAGAUGUAACGGGGCUAAACCAUGCACCGAAGCUGCGGCAGCGACACUGUGUGUUGUUGGGUAGGGGAGCGUUCUGUAAGCCUGUGAAGGUGGCCUGUGAGGGUUGCUGGAGGUAUCAGAAGUGCGAAUGCUGACAUAAGUAACGAUAAAGCGGGUGAAAAGCCCGCUCGCCGGAAGACCAAGGGUUCCUGUCCAACGUUAAUCGGGGCAGGGUGAGUCGACCCCUAAGGCGAGGCCGAAAGGCGUAGUCGAUGGGAAACGGGUUAAUAUUCCCGUACUUGGUGUUACUGCGAAGGGGGGACGGAGAAGGCUAUGUUGGCCGGGCGACGGUUGUCCCGGUUUAAGCGUGUAGGUGUGUGUUCCAGGUAAAUCCGGUUCACUUUAACACUGAGGCGUGACGACGAGGCACUACGGUGCUGAAGCAACAAAUGCCCUGCUUCCAGGAAAAGCCUCUAAGCAUCAGGUAACAUCAAAUCGUACCCCAAACCGACACAGGUGGUCAGGUAGAGAAUACCAAGGCGCUUGAGAGAACUCGGGUGAAGGAACUAGGCAAAAUGGUGCCGUAACUUCGGGAGAAGGCACGCUGACACGUAGGUGAAGUGAUUUACUCAUGGAGCUG